rnacentral:rRNA from 1 species
UACGUAGGGUGCAAGCGUUGUCCGGAAUUAUUGGGCGUAAAGAGCUCGUAGGCGGUUUGUCGCGUCUGCUGUGAAAACUCGGGGCUUAACUCCGGGCCUGCAGUGGGUACGGGCAGACUAGAGUAUUGCAGGGGAGACUGGAAUUCCUGGUGUAGCGGUGAAAUGCGCAGAUAUCAGGAGGAACACCGGUGGUGUAGACGGCUUUCUGGACCGUAACUGACGCUGAGACACGAAAGCGUGGGUAGCAAACAGG